AUUCGUUACUCGGCUGCACACAGCUCUACCUUCCAUGGUGCCUGAAAAGACCAUAACAGUCUUAAGAGAGUUCUUGUUAGGAGACCUAAUUAUUACCAUCAGCUGUCAGCUUAUGAAUUGACGGUUGAUUUUUUUUUGUCUUCGCCAUUAAAAUGAGUCUGGCACCGCACAGCGGAUAGUUUCGCGCAUCACAGCAGAGCUGUUCUGGGGCUGCGCUCGAUGAAUCAUUCACCAGCUUCAACAUGAGCAGCAGUGCCAGUUCAGCAGAAUCCCUGCAGGAAGCAGAUUCAACAAUCAUCUCACAGAAAGCAGAUGUGAAGAAUUACAGUAUGAUGACUCCUGCAGAGAAACUAUCGCUUUGUGAGAGACGGGCUCAGUCUUUGGCUGAUAGCGAAGAGGUUGGGCACAUCAGGCACAAGAACAUGCAUCAAAAGCACAUGAAGUACUCCGUCUCCAGUCAGCAGGAGGAGAGAAUGAGCUACCUCAACUGCUUCCUUAGCAUGCAUCAGACUCUUGGAAGUGCCUCUCUACUGCUUGGAAAUUUAGCAGAGGCCGAGUCAAGCUUUCAGAAGGCAGAGAUAGUCAUGGGAGACAUUGUAGCGCAAGAAGCCAUGGGGAAGGAGGACAGAGUGGGUACUGCGUAUGAAAUAUUUACAAAUUUAGCAAGGGUGUACCAGCGGCAGGGAAAGCCUGAGAAGGCCCUCAGUCAGUGUGAAAGAGCCUUGGAGCUGCUUCAGGAAGGAGCUCAGCUCAGUCGGAUCUGCUGUGUUUACAGAAACAUGGCGGCCAUUGAACAGGCACAGGGACAUCUGGAUAGAGCCAUUGAGCAUCUCCUACUGGUAAACACCGCAGG
rnacentral:lncRNA from 1 species